AGGUUUAACCCAGAAGAAUUUAGCUAAACAGUUUGAUUUCCCUAUUUCUUUGGAUGAAGCUUCAAAAGUAAUGAAGAAAAAGAAAAAGGUUUUAGUGUGGAAUAAAGUAUACAAAGUCAUUUCUAGAAUGCUUGAAGAAAACGAAAAAUAUAGACUCAGGCUGAAGUACCAACAACUAUCCAGUGAAAAUAAGUUAACACAAUUUUGAUUGUAUGAAAGACGACUGGCUUUCCUAACAGGGUUAACCUAUCUUUGGAUCUGUUUACCAAAGAAGACUGUGAAGAGUUGAAAGAUGGAACUUAAUAGUGAAUCAUAAUUAUAUGUUAAUUUUGGUGUGUUUUGUUGGAAGUGAGACUUUAAUAGUUUAAUAGAAAAACCACUUUCUUUGUAAAUUAAUAGUAUUUAUUUGCAGAUUAAUACAAGUUUAAUUAAAUAUUGUUAUCAUAUGCACACAAGUGUUAUGCAAGUGUUUUUUAAGUGUGCAUUAGUACUUAUUCUGUAUUCCUUUAAAUUAAUCUUAUACACAAAAAUUUAAAUUGACACGGCAAUACAAUUGCCGGCUUUUAUAUUUGCCAACUUUUCCUUUUAAUUAAUGAGUCUGCAACCACCACUUUAUUCAUUCCUCAUUUAUAUAUAACUGCUUUAAAUUAAACUUUGACUCAUUUAAAAAUUU